AGUGUUUUUCAAGAGUCAUCAGUGCAGAGACAGGCUUCAUGUUUGUUACCACUCUUGCGUCCUGUUUAGGUUUUCCACUAGACUGCAUGCGUCCUGAGGACAGGCUUUGCUGCAUCUUCAGUACCUCCAGAAGAGCCCAGAACAGGUGCUUCCUUCAAGCAGCGCAAUGAAUGGGGCAAGUGUUUCUGGAAGAGCAGAUGGAGUUUCACUCUUUCACCCAGGCUGGAGUGCAAUGGCACGAUCUCGGCUCACUGCAGCCUCUGCCUUCCAGUUUCAAGCGAUUCUCCUGCCUCAGCCUCCCAAGUAGCUGGGAUUACAGGCGCCCGCCACCAUGCCGGCUAAUUUUUGUAUUUUUGAUAGAGACGGGGUUUCACCAUGUUGUCCAGGCUGGUCUUGAACUCCUGACCUUGUGAUCCACCUGCCUCAGCUCCCCAAAAUGCUAGGAUUACAAGCAAGAGCCACCGUGCCCAGCCCACCAUCUCCAUUUUGCAAAGGAGGAAACUGAGACACAGUGACACCAAGGAUGACAACUGGAGUAAACCAUGGAGGCAGGAUUCUCACCCUAACAGAUACCUCAACAGGCCAAAUUUAAGU
rnacentral:lncRNA from 10 species